GAUUAUUUAACUUAAAUGUAAAGUGUUUAUUUUGAAAAUAAAAAAUAGGUGUUAAUCCUAAUGAUCU
rnacentral:tRNA from 1 species